CACUUCCUCUGUAAUUUAUCAUUUAUCAAUUGAGAUUGUUGAAGAUAUACUUUAUGGAUGGAAUAUUAUACCUUUUGUUAGACGCUGCAAAUUGUUACUAUGGCAAAACUAAGUAGGUAAGUUAGAAGUAACCAUGGGGGUCUUGGAUGUGUCAUGGGAGGUAGUUGACCUCUCGACAUGCGCAGUAGGGACCAAAUCGCCAAGAUGGCGGACUUUAGUUGACAAUUUUCCUUUCAUUUGACAAUUUUGCCUCCGUAAACACUCUCACAACCAAGCAUGACGAAACCGAAGUCCAAGAAAAAGUCGGAGAAGCCCAAGGAGGCUUCGACACCGACCGAGAGUAAGGUAAACGUGCCCACGGAAAGUCCCGUUGGCCAAACGCCACCAAGCGCCCCACCUAGCGGAAAAGUUGCACCCAAGUCGUGGUUUACCGCCGAGAUACAACUUAUGAUGUACACGUUUGGUGACCACCGCCGUCCGCUGCAGUCGUCGGCCGCGCUGAUCGAAGAAGUCGUCCACAGCCAGAUGACCAGUCUAUUACACCAGGCAGCAGAAGUGACCAUCCAGAGAGGAGCCAGGUUUAUAGGUGUGGAGGACAUCAUCUUCAUCAUGAGGAGGGACAAGAAGAAGCUAAGACGUCUCCUGAGAUAUCUGGACUUUAAGGACCUGAAACAGAAGGUAGUGAAGGGGUCAGGUCUGGAGGAGGGAGGAGAGGUGGAGGUAGAGGACAUCAAACAGCCUGUAGCCAAGAGGAGGAAACUCUGCUAUGAUUUCCUGUCUGCUAUUGACCAAACAGGAGAGCUGUUGUCCCUGUUUGAGGAUGAUGAGAUUGAUGAAGUCAAACAGGAGAGAGCUGAGCGAGCAGACAUGCAGACCCGUAGUAUGGACCAGACACAGUACAUGGAGUAUGUGGAGGCACGGCAGACUACCUUCCAUAAGAAAGCGAGUAAGUUCCGAGACUGGAUGGACCUGGGAACCCUGGAGGUUAAACCCAACCCACUGGCCAUGGAGAUACUCAGUUAUCUGGCUUAUGAAACUGUAGGAACUAUUGUAGACUGUGCACUGCUGAUAAAGAAGGACACAGAGAGAACAGUGAACAACCCCCUCCAGCCCUGUGCCCCUCACCUCUGCUCAGCCCCUGACACCAUCUCUGUCGCCCCCCCUCCACCCCUGCAGAUCAAGUCCCCCUCCUCUCGCCCCAGCAGUCCCAACCAGACCCCCCCUUCCACGCCGACCACCCCUACAGGUCAGUCAGGUAAUGUGACGCCCCUGAUGUUUGGUAGUCAGUUCACGGCCCCUCCCUCCUCAGCCACUCAGAACAGUAACUCUGCCGGCCUGACCCUCCCCACCACCCCACAGACCUCCAUCUUCAACUUCAGCUCUAACAGUGGAGGCAGCGGCAAGUCCAAGAAGAAAAAGAAAAAGAGUGGUUCUUCAGCCCCGGAGCCUGCCUCAGCUGAUGCCAUCCAACCUUCUCACGUACGGGAGGUCAUGAGAAGAUAUGGAGCAAACAUCGGACCUAUGGCACCCUUCGCUGCAUACAACAAGCUUCCAGCACCAACAUUUCUGGCCUGUUGAGAUUUGAGAAGUUUGAUCAAGUGACACCUCGUGCUGCAGUUUGUGAAGUGACUGUAAGAGGGCAUCACUGCAUGGAGUACAACUACUGGUUGUCUAGAUAUCAGUGUACAAGUUACAGGACCAUACUUGUGCGUUUUAUGUUGCAAAGCUAUAUAUAUAUAUAUCUAUAGAAAAAAGUGUCGAGUUUAGAGCAACAAAUGGUAGCUUUAUUUUUACAACAUUUUUUUACAAACAAAGUACAAUAGUAGUGGUUAAGUGACUGUUCAGCAAAUGUUGUCCAAAAGUACUGUUACAUGUAGCUGUAGUAUGAUGUCAAUUAUGCACUGUGAGUUUGCAGAAUUAUCAUCCGUCUAUUUGCUGCCAACUUAUGGCUGUUUACAAAGAUGCUUUAAUCAUGUUUUAAGCUAUUUAUGUGCGAACGAAUUAGUAACAGUGACUUGUCUAUACACAAGGACAAAUAAACUUCAGUCUAUCUAAGAUUAGAAAGUGUAUCUUCUGUUUGUGUUCUAACAAAAACCAUAACAUCAUAACCCUGUACAAAUCAGGUCUCAUUUCUUCAUUACUACCAUCAUACAUGUACUAGAAUAUAUACAUAAACCUUUACUUUGAAGUUACUCCAAAAAAC